AUGCCUUGUGAUAAAGGUACAAUAAUUUCAUCAUAAUUACAAUAGAAAAGAUGUCAAAAAGGAAUUAUGAUAGUUU
rnacentral:sRNA from 1 species